AUGAAGACAUUGAAUAAAUUACUUCUGUCAUACAGCUUGGAAGUGGCAGAGUCUAGAUUCAAACCCAGAACUUCCAGACUCAAAAGACAAUGGAAGAUGUCCAUUGAAGAAUCCGGUUUGUACAAUGCAACCUUAAGCACAUCUUUCAAUAGUGGCCUGAUUGAAGAUGCAGCAGUGGAUCACAGAAUAAUGAGGAAGAUGGAAACUAAAGGGCAUUCUCACUCUUUGAAUUCAGAAGCAGACUCUGAAACAAGAAUUUGAGUGCAGACAAUUUAUUUUAGAAUUAUGAAACAUCAGCAAAGAAGUGGGGAAAUUAAAAAGGAAAGGAGCCAACACAACACAUUGCGGAAGAGAAAGUUACUGUUGCAGCUCACUGAGGCCCCAUCUCACUGAAGACUUCUGGAAAUGCCGUAUGUAUGUAUGUAUGUAUGUAUGUAUGUAUUCAGGUGUAGGGUUUAGUGAUUCAUCAUUUACGUACAACACCAAGAGUUCAUCAAACAAGUAUACUCUUUAACUUCCAUCACCCAUUGAGCCUAUCCUCCACACCUUCCCUCCAGCAACCUCAGGUUGUUCUUUAUAGUUAAGAGUCUGUUUUAUGGACUACCUCUCUCUGUCCCCAACCCCUCCACCCCAGUGUUCAUCUGUGCUGUUUCUUAAAUUCUGCAUAUGAGCAAAAUCAUAUAGUAUUUGCCUUUCUUUGACUGACUCAUUUCAUUAGCAUGAUAUCCUCUAGCUCCAUCCAUGCUAUGCAAAUGGCAAGAUUUCAUUCUUCUUUAUGGCUGAGUAAUAUUACACUGCAUAUGCAUACCAACUCUUUAUUCAUUCAUCAGUCAAUGAACAUUAGGGCUCUUUCCAUAAUUUGGCUAUUGUCAAUGAUGCUGCUAUAAACAUCGGGGUGCAUAUAUUCCUUCAAAUCAGUGUUUUUGUAUCCUUUGGGUAAAUGCCAGUGGUGAAAUUUAUUUUGAACUUUUUGAGGAACUUCCAUACUGUUUUCCAGAGUGGCUGCACCAGUUUGCAUUCCACCAACAGUGUAAGAGGGUUCCCUUUUCUCUGCAUCCUUGCCAACACCUGUCAUUUCCUGUGCUGUUAAUUUUAGCCAUUCUGACAGGUGUGAGGUGAUAUCUCAUUGUAGUUUUGAUUUUUAUUUCCCUCAUGAUGAGUGAUGUGGAGCAUCUUUGUAUACCUGUUAGUCACCUAGAUAUUUUCUUUGGAAAAACAUAUAUUCAUGUCUUCUUUCCAUUUCUUUUUUUUUAAUUUUUUAUUUAUGAUAGUCACACACACAGAGAGAGAGAGAGAGGCAGAGACAUAGG
rnacentral:lncRNA from 1 species